CAGCCGCCACGGGAAUACGGAGGGAGCUAGCGUUGUUCGGAAUUACUGGGCGUAAAGCGCGCGUAGGCGGUUACUCAAGUCAGAGGUGAAAGCCCGGGGCUCAACCCCGGAACUGCCUUUGAAACUAGGUGACUAGAAUCUUGGAGAGGUCAGUGGAAUUCCGAGUGUAGAGGUGAAAUUCGUAGAUAUUCGGGAGAACACCAGUGGCGAAGGCGACUGACUGGACAAGUAUUGACGCUGAGGUGCGAAAGCGUGGGGAGCAAACAGGAUUAGAUACCCCUGUAGUCCCUGUCUCUUAUAC
rnacentral:rRNA from 1 species